AGCUUUGCACAGUGGCAGUAUCGUAGCCAAUGAGGUUUAUCCAAGGUGCAAUUAUUGCUAAUUGUACCCUUUACGCUUA
rnacentral:snRNA from 1 species